CAUGCUGAUAACAACGGUAUAACGAAGUCCAAAACAAGCUGCAAUGCUGUUGGUUUUCAAAAAGCUUUUAGAACUGGAGAUGAGCAGUCCACUGUAACACUAUGUUUGGGUCAAGAUGAUGUAGCUUUUACAAUUCAUCCCUUGCGUGUGUGUGGAAGAAGUAAGUGGAACAGAAAAUCACUUCCACCUGGACCACUGCUUCUCUUUAUCUGUUAAAGGCACAUAUAUCACUCCCAUCAGAGGCUUCAUUUUGACACUGCCAUCUUCUAGUUUGUCAUACUGUUCAAGCAUCUGGUUUCCCCCUGCAGGACCAACUGGUAAUAUCAAUCUUCCGCCAGGUUUUAACUGAUCUAUAAGUGCUUGGGGCACAACUGGUGCUGCAGCUCCUACAUGAAUUGCAUCAUAGGGAGCUUCUUCUGCGUAUCCCAUUC
rnacentral:lncRNA from 1 species